ACGUAACAGCAUCUUAGUCUGUGGUAACAGCCACUUGCCACCCCUUUGUGCCCUCAGAAAAAUAUCCACAGUUUGACAGCAGUUACAGUAGUGCUUCAUCAAAUGAUAAUUUGAAAUGUUUUGUGCAAACUAAUUUCAGUUGAUGCUGGAAUGUUGACUAUGCAGCUAGGUUAUCUGUUUCAUUUUUUAGACUGAUAAAAGUAGCACCAUUGUUUCAGCCAAGGUUACAGCACAUCACAAGAUGCCGAAAGGAUAUGACACACUUGUCAAUUGAAAAAGUGUUCACGUCAACGAGUGCAUCGUUUUUAUCACUCAUGUGUUCCGACAAAGGAGUCCACGACAGAAUUGUUUAUUGCUGUAAUGGGGCUCAAGGGCUUCACCCAUGGAAAAGGGCUACAUGUAAUGUUGGUGAUGGAAGGCCGGUAGCACAGUUGAUAUAGUUGCUGAGUCGUCUGGGUUAUAGCCCCCAAAUUAGUCUUUUCUAUUGAAUUAAGAUGCUCCAAUGUUAGCCUUUAUUCUUUUAAAAGGAAUAACCUACUGCCUCUAAUUGUAUGGGUCUGCCAAUUGCGAAGUUUGGGAGAAGAGUAUAAAGAAGGUAUGCUGUAGUUUUUAGAGUUAAACAGCACUCAUCCAUCUGGACGUUAAUUUUAAUUAUUGUGUCCUCUUGGCCCAUCCAACCCAGCAUGGUGGUUCGUACUUGGAGUAGCUGAACGAGGAGACUAUUACGGCAUCAACAAACCCAACGUAUUCACUCGAGCUGUUUUUGUCGGCGGGAAAUAACGAGAAGAUCUGGCAGAUAACGCGUUUCCCAUCGCCGUCGUCACGAUGAGUUUCAUCGGCUCAUUUUUCUUCCGAUGAGUUAAAAGUAUUUUCAUUUAUUUCCUUUUUUUCGUUUAUGUAGUGUUAAUUUUGCAAUUUUUAAUUGAACCACUGAGCUAUUCUAAUACGUGGAUAGUGAAGAUUUAUUCACUGUGGAACACCUGCAUCGACUUCUUCGACUGGCCAUCGCUGGGGAAAUGGAAUUGAGUUUCGCCUUGUUGCUUCUCAUUUCCAGAAUACUUCCUUCUUUUCUUUCUUACUACUUUCUCUUGGACCAGAAUACUUCUUCGGCCAUGGUCAACAAACCACUCAUUAAUUUGAAAAAAGGAACAGCUUAUCAUUGGUAUCUGUUUGCCAUUCUAACGGCCGCCUUAUCAGCUGUUGGCCUGCCCUGGCUGGAUGCCCGUCUUUGUUCGGAAUUCGCCACUUAACGCCCACGCACUGACUGAUGUCGAGUAACGAGUACAUCAGGGUCGCAUCUAUCAAAUGUAAAAUUUUCCUUCAUUCAAUUCAACUUCAAUUCCAGAUUUUGGUUUUAAUUCGAUACAAUUGGCAGAAUUUUACAAGUGCGUGAGACUCAACUGACUAGGGGUUUGAUCAAAUCUAUAAUCGAGAAAAUUGUUAGAAGCUUCACAAAAUAACCGGGAAUUGACUGAUCGACUGAACCGGCAUUAAAUUUUAAGCAUCGAUUACAAUGUGGCAUAAGUCCACUUGUGAUGAAAUUUUCUUAAUGAUAUAUAUAUUUUUUAAUUCUUUCGUAAUUUUCCCUUUCGAAUAUCGAGUGUUGUAUAUCAAAAUGAUUGUUUAAUUUCAUUUUUACAAAGAUAUUUAGUAUUUGAAAAAAAUUUGACAAAGAUGAAUAGGCCAAUUUUCUGUAAUCUAGUACAGUCUCGUAGCACAAUCACUAAAGCUUCAAAUGUUUGCUAUGGCUUGCCCAUACGUCAUUUAUAAAUAGUGGAGAGAGCGAGAAGUCGGGAGACGGAUCGCGACUAUCCCGAGACUGAA